GCGGCGGCAGCACUGAGGAGAGGCCCGCCCGGUCCCUGCGCCGGCGCGCUGCUACUCUGGCAGUGCCUUGUCCCCGCAGUCUUCCGCUCGCCGCCGGGCCGAUGCGGGUCGUCGAGCUGAGAGGAGCGACAUAGCCGCCGCCCGCGCUGCAGCCGCCGGGCCCGGUCCGGCUCCGCCCCACGCGCCAGCCCGCCCGGCCAUGGCUGACCGCGGGGGCCCGCUGGAGGCGGCGUCGCUGCCCGCCGAGGUGCGGGAGGGCCUGGCCGAGCUGGAGCUAGAGCUGUCGGAAGAUGACCAAUGUACCAUGUUACAAAAUCUUGGUGAAUGGGUAAAGGAUUCAUUCAGAAGAUAGACCAAUGGAUUUUAAUGUAAUGGUCUUGAAGGGAACACUUCAAGAGGAAGUUUUGAUCUGUUCAUCUUUCUGUCCCUAACACCCUGCACAUUUUAGGCAUUUUAAUAAAUGUUUAUUGAAUUAAUAA